CAUCAGUCAGUCAGUCAUCUCAGCAAAUAAUUCCAGUUGUCUACUGGCUUUCUGGAAACAUGACUGGGGACUGUUGAUGCCUUUGACAGUUGAUUCAAGCAGCAGGACCUUUCACAACAGCCUCCUGUUUUUGUGGAUGGGGAAUAGGCAAGGGUUGGGAAGCGGGAAUUCGCCGCUCUUUCUUGUCAUUCUCUUCAUAGCCCCCAAGCUACUGUGGUCUAUUGUUUUGAUAGUUGCUUUCCCGAAAUGUUAACAGGAUGGAGAGUAAAGGAGGUAAAGGAGGACUCUGAUGCCUCAGCCAUGCGCCUGUGUGCCGAUUCCCAUUAAGCCUGCACCAAUUUGAUUUCCAAGACUCCAGUCAAUCCUCAGAGCUCCAGGAGGGGAGGGGCAGCUUUUCCUGGUAGCUGCUGAUCACCAGCAGAGGGAGCCCUAGGACUGCAGGGCCUCUUUCCUUACCGUUGGUGAAGCCCUUCACUGUGGCUUCAAAACUGUGGAAGACCCGGGAUUUGUGGAUCACUUGCCUUUAGAAUAGAAUCAAGAAAUAAAGCUGCAGAAGAAAGAAUCUCCAUGUGAUGAGCCCCAGAGAGGCGAAGCCACUUGAGCUCGUGAGUGACAGUCAGAUGUCAAGCCCUGCUCUUUCUAAAGCGUGCUGCCUUCAGAAAAGAAGAGCCAGAAGGAUGGAAAUUACUUCAGAAAGAUGAAUACCAGCUUUGAAGGAAUAAAAGCUGACGAGGAAUUGAAGGAGUUGAGGCACGAGCUUGAACAGGGUUGCAUGUUUGGCCCUUGAUUGUAAAUGCCCAUUGCUGCACCUGUUCCUGUUACUUGGGGAGUUGCAGCAGAAGGAACAGCGGCCUGGGACUCCAGAGAACUGGGUUCCCUCUCAUCCCUCCAGGGCCACCACUUCUUGUGGGCCCUUGGGCAAGUCACUGUACUUUCUGAGUCUCAGUUUCCCCAUUUGCAGAAUGGAAAUAACUACCCCGGUCUACCAACUUAGAAGAAUUGCUUUGAGGAUCUGAUAAGGUGGUGUGGAUGAUGCUGCCUUGGGGGCUUUACAGUCUGGAGCUCAAGGGACCCCUUAAGUUGGGCUUACUUAGUAACUCCAGGGGUGGGCAGAACAGGACUCCAAUGAGGGUUUUUUUCUUUUUCCCUUUUUUUUCUUUUCCUAUCUCUUAACUUUUAUCUUUAUUAUUUUACAAUGCCCUUGUAAGAUGAAACAAGUGAUGCUGAAAUAUCUUUUUCUUUUUUAACCUUUAUUUUAGAAUUGGGGUACAUGUGCAGGUUUGUUACAUAGGUACAGUGUGGGCUGCUGAGGUUUGGGAGUACGAAUGAAUUAGUCACCCCAGUGGUGAGCAUAGUGCCCGAUAAGUGGUUUUUUCAACCCUUACUCCCAUCCCUCUCCAUUCUUGUGUUCCCCAGUGUCUGCUGUUCCCAUUUUUAUGACCAUGUGUACUCAAUGUUUAGCUCCCACUUAGAAGUAAGAACAUGCCCAGCACUUUGGGAGGCCGAGGUGGGUGGAUCAUGAGGUCAAGAGAUCGAGACCAUCUUGGCUAACAAAGUGAAACCCUGUCUCUACUAAAAACAUAAAAAAUUGGCCGGGUGUGGUGGUGGGCACCUGUAGUCCUAGCUACUCGGGAGGCUGAGACAGGAGAAUCGCCUGAACCGGGGAGGUGGAGGUUGCAGUGAGCUGAGAUUGUACCACUGCACUCCAGCCU
rnacentral:lncRNA from 1 species